CGGGGCGUAGCGCAGCCUGGUAGCGCGUUCGGUUCGGGGCCGAAAGGUCGGAGGUUCGAAUCCUCUCGCCCCGA
rnacentral:tRNA from 1 species